AGGAGGGAGUGUUGCCCAGAUCCAAGGAGAAUCUAAUGCCCUUUUUAUAGCAAAGGCAAUAUUAAUAUCGUAUACGAAUGUGAAUGUUCAGGAUGGGAAUCUCUGCAGACAGCAGCCCAACAGGCGCCGUAAUAACCUACGUCUCGUUUCCAUAGAGACUUGGACCGUUUUUGCCAGCAGCAAAAUCAUGAUUGACACCGAACACCUUCUGAGAGGUAGAACCCCGGUGUCAUAGAAACGGGCUAUGAAUGUGCAGUAAAGCUUCUCGCCGCAGGGUGUUGUUUUUGUUUCCCUAAGUCAAUUGCAUGCCAGCGAAAGACGUGCUGGAUCGACAGCUCUGGAGACGGAGGGCCCGUCUUUAUUCCACCAAACAGUUAAUACAUCUUCAAUUAGUUUAUUGUAAGAUUGGCUACAAGCGUUGUCCUUGGUGAGAGAUCCGAGAUACAAUUGACCUGGGGUGGUGCUAGAAAGCAGGGACAUCACGCCUGCCUGAGAUCUGCAGCUGAACUGAGUUUUCUAUCAGAAAAAGGAUCCCAGAAAAUUGGGAGUGGACCACAUCCACCCUGACUGAAUUGGCCUUGUCAACAUUGGUUCUCCACUUGUAAGAAAGAUCUUUCGCCACCAGCUGGUAAUGAAGCUAACAUCCCCACCGGUCUUGAGGCUGUUGGAUUGCUGCUUGAUUUUCAACGGCGCUUGCCCAGUGCACAGAGGGAGAAUAGGUGACCGAUGGUACCGUACCACCAACACAAAGAAGAGGAGCUGGAUGGAGGCUGGAAGUUCCAUUUCGUGAUGGGUUUCGAGAUUUUGAAAUUUGGUUUCGUUGCAGUUCAGAGCGAAAAGUGAAAAUUUCAAAAUUCUCUGUCAAGAGAAAUUUAACCCACUUCCACCACCACACCUUCUUUUCAGGUUGAUCAAAUGGUUCAUUUCAAUUUUGACUUUUUUAAAAUGUGGGAAUACACCGUAGAAUACAAAAUAAAAAAAAAGAAUCAAAAAGUUGUUUCUAAGUGAAAAAUCAAAAGGAGACAGCUCAGCCUUGUCAGGACGUUUGUCUCCCCCUCCUCCUCCCCUGCCAGUGCUGGCUAGGCCGCUGCAUUAGACCCAUCAGAGCUAGCGCCAGAGCAGUCUACGUUCAGCAGAUGGCCCUUGUGGUAGGCAGAGGUAGCUCCUUUGGAGUCUGAUGCAAUUAGUAUCCCCGUCACAGGCCAGUGCUGCCAUCAGCCUCCCCCAGCUAUCGCACCAGGCGCCACCGUUUAAAGUGAUUUGAGGUUCGGGGCUUCGUCGGGGCUCUUUCAAAUGAUUAGGAACCAGAGACUGACCCAGACUUCCCCAAGGGCAGGCCGUUCGGAUCCUGGGUUCCAGCUGGGGCCACAUCUGUUUGGAAGUCCUUCCUCGUAUUCAUCCUAAAUGUUGCUGUGUUCAAUGUCCACCCUGGAGCUCCAGUUCCACCCCGUAACUGCCCAGGAGGACUCAAAACUGGAGCAGAGAGGUGGAUGGCUCAGGCCUGAGCCCCAUUCCGGUCUCCCUGUGCCUGUGGGUGCAUCAGGAAGCACCUGCAUUCUCCCAGCUCUGAGUUCCCACAGAUGGAGGGAAUCCCCAGCUGGCACACAGCCAGCACAGAUGAUUGCUACCAGCCGCCCCUGGGCACUGGGAGGGCAUUGUGAAGGGGAAGUGGGCAUGAGCGCCGGCAAUCCCUUGCAGGCAAACAGCCCCUUGAGAACAGAACUCCUAGGUACCUUCAGGAUUAGGGAGCUGUAAAUGACUCCCAGUUUUAGCUGCCUACAGCACCUGUAGGACAGGGCUAAGGAAUAAGGCCAGAGGCUUUCAAGGAGACCAGACGUCAAACUCCCAACCUUUUCCCCCGUGGUAUUUCCCCUACGUUAGCGACGUUAAUGGAGGAAGAGCCUGGAAUACUGCAGCAGGUGUGCAGCCACAGAAGAAUGAUUAGAGGCCGGCCCUGAAGUCUAAAUGAAUGCUCCUUUAUUAUUUAUCCUCUUAGCUUUCCAGCUGGUGUCCUAUAGGACCCCGGGAUCAAUGAGACAGAGAUAUUAUCGAGGAAGCCAGGGGACCCUGAACCACAUAUGUCUCUCUAAUUGUUCAGCAGGGACUUUUUACCUGAAAGCUUAAAGGACACCAAGGGAGAAAUCUGUUAGCUAAUGGGAAAACUCAGCAUCGGGGGCUGGGCCAGGGCUACGCAUUUAUGUGUAAAUGGGAGGUAUUUAUUCUACCAGCCUGCAGCCUCCUGCCCUGAUGAAGGAUUAUACGUACUUCACCGCAGAACAGCCACUUGCGGCAGAAGUCUGUUUUCAGAACGAUUUUUUUCCCCGUCUGUGGCCUUGUUUGUUUUGUUGGUUAAAUGAGACUGGUAAGGAAUGCUGUGUUGUGCAUACUGGUUAAUUAUUGUAGGGUCCUUCAGGGGGGAGCGCUGCUGGGACCUACUUUUUUGGCCUGACCUGAACUGGACCCAAGCUCACCUGACCAGUUCCAAGCCCGAGAGGCUCCAGUUGUUUCGCCAGCUGACCCAACCCAGACCCAGCGCCUCUACUUGGGUCUGGGUUGGGUUGCAGUAUGUCAGGGUAUGUCUACACUGCAGCUGGGAACAUGCCACCUGGCUAGACAGGCUCAUGCUAGGACACUGAACAUUGGCGCACAGGUAGAGCGCGAGAAAGCCACCUGAGUGCACGCCCGCCCUACCCUGGCUCCAAGCUUGGGUGUCUAGCCUGACCCUCCGUCGGUGGCGCAGUGUUCACGCAGCUAUUUUUCGUGUGUUGGGGAGGCACGAGCUAGUGCACGUCUGUCUACCCGGGCUGGGAGCCUCGUUCACUCGCAAACACUGAGCUGCUCCUGCUGGGUUGUUAUUGUAGGGUCGCUCGUGAGUGUUGCGCUGCUGGAAUUGAGCUUUAUUGGUAUUUCAAAUGUAAUUUUUUUCUUUAAAAAAAAACCAACACUCCAGGGAUCUCUUUGGAAGCAAACCGAAUGGAAGCACUUUGCAAACAGCUAGUUUUAUUUUGGUGCCGUUCCCCCCCCUACACCCUCCACCCCCAACCCUGAUAGCGUUUCGUAAAUACGGUAAAUAGCCACAUAAGAAAAUGCCAAGAGAGACAACACACAUAGCGGAGAGACGGGGAAUGUUUUCCAGGCUCCCUAGUGCUGUGCACCAUAAAACAUGUGAUUCGGUGUCAAUUCU